rnacentral:sRNA from 1 species
ACACGGAAAGGAGGUGGUCCGAAGAAUGAUUGCUUAUCGGACAUGUGAGGUGGCGGCUAGCUAGCCGUUCCAGCAACAGCUGACUGGAUCAACUGGCCGAGACGGCUGGCUAAUCCACAGCCGACACCCGAACCCGCGAGCGCCGGACGUUGUCCAUCCGGCCGACGAUCCACCACCUCCCCGCGAGGACCGCUCCCA